UUUAUUUUUUAUUUUAUUAUCUGAACCUAGGAUUAACAUUUCAAGGCAUGGGUCUCUGUUCUAUAUUUCUCUCACCUGAGUUUAUUAAUCUUUAAGUUGGUUCUUCUGUGAACACUUCCCAUAUAUUAGCAAAUUGUCCGAUCAACCUUGUCAUUUAGUGUUUUUUGAUUGUGCAAGAGUUUAAUUGGAUUGGAGUUCAUAGUACUUGUAUAGGAAAAAUUGUUCCUGAAUAAACACAUACUAUUUGUCAGAUCAGAUAUAAUAAAUGUGUUGGAUUUCUCAUCUGUUUUGAGAUUUGAAUGCUAGCGUAUGCUUAGCACAUAUUAACGUGGAGAAAACAAGUAAGGUAAUAUAGAACAUCAUUAAAUCCAUUGACAUUCCAGGCACUGAAGUUAGCCACUGAAAAUGCAGCAGUCACUGAUCCUGUUCUGAAAUUUGAGAGGGAAUUUAAUUCUGAGCUUGAGAGUCUCGGGCCAAUUUUGAGCAGCAGUUCUCAAGCCGAGCCAUAUUUAACUCAUCCUGCUCAGUGGAUUCUCAGUGUUGGAAGGGACCAGUAAGUUAGUUCUGACACUUUGCUCCGUCGUUUUUUGGGUGUAGACAAUAUUAUUUAAGAUGCCUUGCUUGCAUUUGACUGUAUGUAUAGGAUAGAGAGUUUUGUCCCUUGUUUGAUUCUUGAGUUUUGACUGUAUGUAUAAACUCGUUACACUGCCAACCACCAACAUAUAUAAACUCAUGACACUGUAUUUUGGGUUUGAAUUUGGGGUUAGAGAUAUAGUUUGUAUUAAGGUGGGGGUUCAAAGAGAAAAUGGGGUUUCAUUUUGUUGGAUGGGGGUUCAAAGAAGUGGGGGGGCCAAAGUAAAAUGGUGGGGGCAAAUAGCAGCCCUCAUAAUUUAAGAUGUCAAAUAUGGAAUGCCUUAAAACUCACAUUAGCAUUUCAUCACAGAAAUAUGGAUUUCAACAUAUAACUUACAAAAAAGCAAAAAGAAAAAAAAGGCUUUCAAUAUAUGAAAGCAAGAAGAAUGUUUUCAUAGCUAGGAGCAAGACUAAAGUGAGUGAAAUUUAGGUAAAAAUGAAGGAGCAUAGAUCCUAUUGGCUGAAAGCUAUCUUUGACAUAUCGAGUGUCUAAAUGUAAUCAUCCUUACUGCAACAAAUGUUACCGAGCUGGACGGGCAAUGGGAUUGUCUGAUUGAAUUAACAAAUUCUAGUGGCCUUCUAGCAUUGGCGGAACCGUUUGUAUCUAAGCGCUUGAGAACCACUCAGUCAGAUGUACGUGCCAAGUUUACUAUUCUGUACUUUGUUAUUUUUUUUUUCAGUUUCCAUGAUUUUGUUAUUGUAUGGUAGUCUCUGCUAGAAAAGAAGAUUUUUUGUUUUGCCUUCGUGUUUGCCACUUGAUUUCUGCCCACCCUUGAAUUUCCCUUCAUUAUACACACAAUAAUUUUCCCUUUUCUUGUUAUGUGUUGUUUGGGUUUUACACAACUGGCAGGAAAACGAAAUAUAAAUAACAAAAGGAUAAAUUUCCCUCCAUUUCACUGUCGGUUAGUCUGUACAAAAACUGAACAUAGAAAUGCAAAAGGGGGCCAAAAAUGGUUCAAUCAAGAGCCUGGUUAUAAAUAAGGAAAGAUAAUAGAGCAUUAUUUAAUAAAACAAAUAGCAAGAGCAAUAUUUUUGCUCAAUUUAGAAAUUGAGCAAAAAUAGAAGAAAGCUGAAGGAGGACAUAGGUUGAGAUUGUACAAAAGGAGGUGAUUGGCUUAGACUAAUUGAGGACAUGACUUUUAAUAGGAACUAACCGGAGAAAACAGUUCAACCCCAAGUAAUUGGGAUGGAGGCUUGUUAAGUUGAGUCAAUUUGAGAUUGAAGAAUAAAUUGUGUUGCUUAUUGUCAUGAAAAGGAUAAUAAUAUUGAGAAGAUUUUUAUGUGGUUUUUGUUAGGAGUGAGGCUUUGACAUUGCUUUAAUAGCCCUCCUCGAGACUUUUUUCCUCACCAGCUCAAAGAAUUUUGUGGAUGAAUUCUAAGUCAGAUUUAAUAUUUAUAUUUCACUUAUUUUAUUUUAUGUUUUUUUUUAUUUUUUGGUGGCAUGUUUCCCUUUAUGCUCUAGUUUAUACAUGCAUGGGUACUCUCACACUUAGGUCCAUGAGAGUACUUAACUCAAUAUUUGGGUAUUGCAAGCU